UACGUAGGGGGCAAGCGUUGUCCGGAUUUAUUGGGCGUAAAGAGCGUGUAGGCGGUUUGGUAGGUCCGCUGUGAAAACUCGAGGCUCAACCUCGAGACGCCGAUGGAAACCGUCUGGCUAGAGUCCGGAAGAGGAGAGUGGAAUUCCUGGUGUAGCGGUGAAAUGCGCAGAUAUCAGGAAGAACACCCGUAGCUAAGGCGGCUCUCUAGUACGGUACUGACGCUGAGACGCGAAAGCGUGGGGAGCGAACAGG
rnacentral:rRNA from 1 species